GAUCAUGGCUCAGGAUGAACGCUAGCGGCAGGCUUAAUACAUGCAAGUCGUGGGCAGCUAGGUUUGUAGCAAUACAGAUGCUGGCGACGGCAAACGGGUGCGGAACACGUACAGAACCUUCCUUUGAGCGGGGAAUAGCCCAGAGAAAUUUGGAUUAAUACCCCAUAGUAUAAUGAAGUGGCAUCACUUUAUUAUUAAAGAUUUAUCACUCGAAGAUGGCUGUGCGGCUGAUUAGGUAGUUGGCGGGGUAAAGGCCCACCAAGCCUGCGAUCAGUAACUGGUGUGAGAGCACGACCAGUCACACGGGCACUGAGACACGGGCCCGACUCCUACGGGAGGCAGCAGUAAGGAAUAUUGGUCAAUGGAGGCAACUCUGAACCAGCCAUGCCGCGUGGAGGAUGAAGGUCCUCUGGAUUGUAAACUUCUUUUAUAUGGGACGAAAAAAGGCUUUUCUAAGUCGUCUGACGGUACCAUAUGAAUAAGCACCGGCUAACUCCGUG
rnacentral:rRNA from 1 species